UGGCUGGCCAGGGAGCACAGCUGCAAGCAAUUCACCUGUGCUUCUCACAUGACCACAGGUCCCUGGGCUCAUUUAAAAGCCAGCCUCUAAAGAGUGGACACCUUUGGGGGUGAAGGCUUCUUCCUGAUAAGGUGUGGUUUACAGCUACACAGAUCUUCUUUACCAGUUGGGCAUACCAAAUAUAUUGGGUCACACCUCUCUCUGCUGUAGAGGAACGUGAUUUCUCAUGCCAAUGAAAAACAAAGUUGUUGACAAUUAAAGGAAGAGAAAACCAAGAAAUUUCAUUGCCAAAGAGAGAUAAGUUGAAGAAGGAUUAAGAAAAAAUUGGCCCCAGAAUGAACGUAGCAGAUGAUCCUUGGUUCUGGGCAUUACAAGAUAUCAAGCAGCAGUAGUAUUAAGGAGCUAGUGGUCACAGUCCUGAACAUUCAACUAUGACUGUCCUGCCCAUAAUUUGUCCUCUCCAAGGCCUCUCCUGCCAUUGACUGUGAAUUCAGAGGUUUAUGGGACAACUAGCACACUGUGGAGGAAACCAUGCAUACUCCCCAGUAUGGAGAUGGGACUCAGACACGGAAUCUCUGGAGCCAGCCAGCUCCUCCCCUGGCAUGUGCAAAGGACAGAUGGAUCCUGCUCGGUUUGGACUCCAGUUGUCACCCAGCAGCUGACUUGGAUGUGAUUUUCCCCUUAAACUCCUCCUGGACAAAAGGAUUAUUACUGAAGAUGUCAGCAGAGACACAGCAAGAUAAGGAAAAAGCCCAACAGAGUAGAACAUCCCCAAAUGGGAGAACAGCAAAAAACAGGAAGCUGUUCUCAGAAAAAUGCUUUGCUCAUUCAGAGAAUUCUGUUGCAUUAUUGGUUUUGUCAUAGACUUUGUUGGCUUUUGAUCAUUUAAUCAUUUGGUGCCUCUACUUCCUCCUUAAACUAGGAUUAUUCUUAGUAAUGGUGGUUAUUUAUAGCAGUGUUGGAGUCUGAAAAAAGUAAUGUUUUUCUGCUACUGCAACUGAAGAUUCUACACAGAGGGCUAACACCUUCCUUUCUGGUUUUCAACUGGCGCUCCAGUCUCCUUCACAAAAGAAGGAUGUGAACAGAAGAGACUAGAGAUAUUUGAAUGGCACCAAGAGCAACUUUCUGUGGAUUUUUUGAGUUCCUAAAUGAAUUGAUACAGGCUGCAAACACAGGCCUUUCAGGAUCGUUGUCAGCAAACACCAACAAGACAGAAACAUAAUUGUAUAUUCACCCACAAAAAAUUAGUUUGAAGAUUCUGUGUCCUUUCAUCUGGGGAACGUGAAUUUUAAAUUCACUUUUGGAAGUAUUUGUACUGGGUGAUUAAGGCUUACACUCCUUCAAAUAUGGAAUAGAAACACUACCUCUAAUUGUGUUAUAACUUCAUGGGUCUCUUGUGAAUAGCAAACUGCUGAUAAAAGCAGUCUUGUAAAAAUAUCAUCAAAUAAUUUUGGAUACCAAAGUGAUCUGUAGCAAUCAGAAUCUGCUAGUGGCUGUGUCUACAAAGAAUAAAGAGAAGACCAUCAGACAAAGAUUAUACAACCGGUUAUUCAGAAAUCAUCUUCUCAGGAGCUGGAGCUCAGGUGGUGCUGUGUUGAACUCAAUGAUCCUUAUGGACCCCUUCCAACUUGGGAUAUUCUGUGAUUCUAUGAUCUUCAGAAGAAACCUAGAGAAAGCAGAGAAUGGCAUUCAGAUCUUUUGCAGUUCACACUGCUGCCUUAGUUACAGGAUGACAUAUCCUCCUUGGAAACUGAAAAUAAAACCAGAAGAGAGGAAAAGCACUCCCAGAUUCUCUCCCACUCUUUUUCUCCAACUAGCAUAUGAUCACGACACUGUCCUUGAAGUGAACUCAGUUACAACGCUGUGACCUAACACAGCUUUAUCUUACAGAAUGUUCCCCGCCUCUGUCCACACCCUCCUCCCUCAAAGUACUGGCAGAAUCAAAGGGAAAAAUUAUAUAUGAAGGGAAAGAACAAUGAAUACUUAGUAGUACAGAACAAAAGAGAUUUGCAAGGAGGGUGGGGAAUCAAGGAAAUUAAGAGCUGUCUGGGAUACACAGCAUAAGUGUGUCAAGGCAGAGAAGAUCUAGUCCACAGGUGCUCCCAGAUCAUUGAAGACAGACUGAUGGUCUGCAUUGAAGACCAGCUUCCUGCAGCAGCACACCCAUACUUGUUACCAUUUUGGUUUGUAGCUGGAAAGCAUUUCAGAGGCUCCUUAUCUGAGCAGAGGGACAAUAAGAGGUGUGUGCUGAAAAAAGAAGUGGACCGGGACAGUCAUCUUCUACUUGUGGUUUGAUAUCUUUGUCAUCUGAGUGGGUUUUUGCCUCCUGUUAUUUCAUGAGAUUAAGCUGAUAAUGUAGAUAUUAAUUAUUGCAGGGAAUAUGCUGCUGACUGAGGAACUGCUCUACUGUAGGCACUUUGGAGAUGCAGCUGAUUCAAUGUAUGGCUGCCAACUGGUGCUCCUUGAGGGAAUGUCCUUCAGCUUCAUUUCCAGACUGAAGUGGACUGUUACAGGUGGCUGUAUGUGACUGAACUGCUUGCAGCUUGAGCAUCUGUAAUGGGCCACAGGUUGUCUACUUGAAGCUGAAAAUGCUGAUAGAAGUGCAAUUGUUGCAGUACCUAAAAAAGCCAGUAGAUAGAAACAAAAUUGUCACUGGCUAGGUUUGUGUGCUCUUACAAGAACUUGAAAGAGCAGUGGUGAAGUGGGACUGCUUCAGAGAGAUGUUAAAACUCAGUGCAUUUGCUCUGAUUCUGACAUUAAUACUGAAGCCAAACCAUGGUAACUGCUAAUCCACUGUAUGUAGAAGAGCUCUUGGAAGGACAGAGGAUUAUUAUUUUCUGCUGUUUGAAGUGUGAUCUGUGUGCAAUCUUGGGAGUUGUGCUGGCAAAACUGUCAAAGGGUAUGCAGUCAGAAGAAAAUUACAAAAGAAAAAAAUAUUAAAAACAGUGUUAAAACUCACCCAUGUUUUCCCAC